AUGCCUGAGAGUGAGUUCCAUCUGCGCAUGCGCUUGCUGCUCAAGCUGACGCACGUGGGAACCGUGGCUGAGUACACGACGUUGUUCUGGGAGCGUCUACACCAUGUGCUGCAUCUUGACUCCAGUCUAAGCAUCAAGAGCUUUGUCCACCCGUACAUCGAUGGCUUGCGCAAGGAUAUUCAAGUAGUUGUGCACUCGCAAUCGCCAUCUAGCAUCACCAGAGCGUCCUGCCUUGCUAGAAUUAGGGAGGAAGAGAUCAUGAAGGAUGAGGCCAUGGCUGUCGAGGAGCAUGGCAAUGGCUAUGACCAUGGAGUUCAUGGUCUCAUGCCUACUGAGACCCUCUGCAUCGUCUCCACCAAGCUCGAGGUCCCAGUGUUGUGCAGUGCAGAUCGCGGCGUUGACGCCGGCAGCCUUGCUGCUCCAACACCGAUCAUGUGCUCAACGGAUUACCCAAGUCGUGGCGCCACCAUCGACAUCUCCCCUGAUCUUGCAACCUCUGCUAUGUGUGGCGAAGCUCUCGACACCAAUACCUUUAGUGUCGCCACACCAACCCCGUGGUGGCGACCGAUUCCUUCCCUCAAGUUCGUCAUGACGAUGCCCACCAGGUUUUUGUUGAAAGGCUUUGGGUUUACGGACGUGUUCAUGUCAGGUGUGACACCAGGUUUGAAGCCACAAGGGACGGUGGUCCAGCCGGCACCAUGGCCCUCUUUCCUUGACAAGGACAUCAGUACAGCUCGUGGCGGCAUCAUCGAGCCACCACCGAGCACCGCCACGGUGUUAAUCAGGGAGGUGGCUCCCUGUGUGAAUUGGCAAGGAAUGAUGACAGAGGAUAUUUACAGUGCAAAGGUGUGCCGGGGGAAGCUCUCUUUCUGGCCUCGACUGCACUCACACAAAACAACCCCUCAAUCUCUUAGGCAAGCAGGAGACAUCAACCGCAGCAAUUCAAGCCUUGGGAACAUCGACUGGUAUUGGUGGCUUAUUUUCAAUGAGUCCUUGGAAGUAAUGUAUGCUCUAGCAGAAUCAGAGGUGCGGCACUUAAGGCGUAAUCCCUCCAACUCUCAUUGGUGUUUGGUGGACGUGUUCUGGAGGUUCCAAAACUACUGGUCUGAUCCUCAAAAUGUACGGUUAGCUUAUGUGAGUUUUGAAGCUCUAUUUUCUGCUGGACAACACAACACUGGACUCCCUUUGCAAGUCUUGGGUGUUGGUUCAAUUCUGAACAUAUUGUUCAGUGAGGCUGCACCUAGUUCACUAAUGACAGAGUGCCAGGUGGAUGGAUGUCUAUGGAGAGCACAAUAUGUACCUUGUUGUAUCUUGGGGAAAUCCAUCGAAGAGAAGCAUUUGCAUAUUUGUGCAGCAGCUAAUCAGGCCCUAAUAUUAUGCAGAGCAGAAGUGGAACUCUUUAGCGAAGCCUAUCGCCCUUCAACUAUUUUUGCCCACAGCACAGUGUGGGAAAAGCCAACUUGCAGUAAAAUCAUUCCAUCUUCUGUGUUUACUUGGCGGUUCAGUGCUACAGAUGUUCUUUGCUAUAAGUCGAUGCAGUCUUCGUGUAAGGUAGACAGUGCCAUUGUUCAUAAUUCCUCAUGGAAAACCAGUGGUCGCUGUGAAGGCAUGCCUUUAUAUUGGUGGUCUCUUCAAAAUGAAUUUUCCACACUAUUUUCUGCAACUAAAGCGAGCGCGCUGCACCACAUUGAUUGGUGGUCUGAUUUUAAAUUUGUACAUCAAGCUCAUGCUAUUGGUCAUGCUACUUUGCAUUUGGGAUCUGCAAAACAGAUGGAUACUAGGAUCCCUGAAGCUCUUAGAACACUCUAUGUUCCAGUUACUAUGCAGCCUGAAGCUCUCAGGACACUCAAUGUUAUUCAGUUGGAUAAUGGAAUUUUAAGCAUUACAGUCCAAGGGCAGUUGAAGAAUCCCUUUAUUGUUCAUGUGCAUAAUCUUGGUAAACUGAAAAUGGAUGCUUACCCCUGCUGUAUUCUCGCGAGCUCUGUUCCAGAAUUAAACCAUGCUAGUGUCCAUGCCUUUGAUUCUAAGCCAGUUCUGCAAACAAAAUGUGCAACCGUAGUGUCUUGGGGGCUUACAGCUCAAGAGAUAUACUCUCUAUGUCACACGGCAAGACUCAGUUACAAGAUGUGGCACAUACAGCUUGAUGGAAAGAUAUCUUUUGGUGGUGAAGCUAAUGUUUAUCUCUCACUGGAGUGGCUCAAGCUACCGGUGGUGGAACUUCAGUUCUCCACUCCGGGUGGCUAUCUUUUCGGUUAUAAAUAUUUUCCUAUGGAUCUGGAGUUGCCUUUUGAUCCAGGAGACCAUAAGCUACAACAGGUUCUUCUUAACAUUAGUGGUGUAUCCAUUGGAUAUAUACAUCUGCACGAGAAUAGAGGAGCUUUGCCAUAUCAUUUGCCCUGGUGGUGUACAACGCUAUAUUUCACGAUGAAAGUUAUGCAAGUUGACAGUGGGUGUUUUUAUCUGGUUGUAUGGCUCCUCGGCAUCAUUGGAGAGUUUGAUCUCACCACAUUAUGGUGUUUAUUGGAGGACAAAAUGUCAAGGAGGGCGACUACAACUGAUAAGAAAGUAAGCAAAGUGGUUGGUUAUUAUAUUCUUGCUGAUUUUGAUGUUCUGAGUGAUGGAACCAUAUUCCAAUCUCGGAAAGCAUUGUACAUGUUGCCUGAACCCAGCCCUAGGUGGACGCUCACGAAGUGGCAUAUGUUUGAGAUAAAUUCCAACACGAAUAUCUUUCUAGCAGUUUUGGUUGAAAACAGUUGCACACCAGGGAGUUUCAUAGUUGUCAAGUAUACUCUGCUCCUACCACAUUUCAUUGGUGUUCAGGGAGGAAUUAUGUUACAUACUCAGAACCUGCAUGGUCACCCAGCUUGCUCAGACUACUCGAAAUAUGUAUGCACAUCAUGUUAUCUUGAUCCGAGGGACGGAGAAAACAACCCAAUUUUUCCAUCGGAUAUGGCAGUGAUCUCUGCGCAGCUGAAGUGUGACAACUUUAAUAUCUCUUGGAGUAGUUGGCAUCACAUCUUUCGGGUCGACUGGCCAAGCCCAUUUCUGCAGCAACAGGUUGUUAAGCUCGUAGGAGUACCCGAGAGACAAUCUCCAUGGGAUCCGGGUGGUUCACAUCACCGGGUUGAGGACAAGCCGCAUUUUAAGGGGGCGAGAAUGUCAUGCCCCAGAGGUCAUGCCCUCUUUGUGGGACUGCCCUGGAAAAUGGGCCGUGGAACUUGGGCUGGGCCUAGUGGCAAGGAUCUGGAGCAAUGCUAUAUAAAGAGGCGCGCGUCACAGGAGACGGGGCGAACGAUUGAAACGUCUGAAGCCUCUCAUCCUUUUGCUCCUGUUCCUCACCUCCCUGCUAUCUGUAUCUCCCUCUUGUUGCUGAUUCUCACCUCAAAUCUCUUCUCUUGUAUCCGAAAUCGGUACUGA
rnacentral:rRNA from 1 species